rnacentral:misc_RNA from 1 species
GAUGAAGAACGUAGCGAAAUGCGAUAAGUAAUGUGAAUUGCAGAAUUCAGUGAAUCAUCGAGUCUUUGAACGCACAUUGCGCCCCCUGGUAUUCCGGGGGGCAUGCCUGUCCGAGCGUCAUUGCCGCCCUCAAGCACGGCUUGUGUGUUGGGCCCCCGCCCCCCGGCUUCGGGGGGCGGGCCCGAAAGGCAGCGGCGGCACCGCGUCCGGUCCUCGAGCGUAUGGGGCUUCGUCACCCGCUCUGUAGGCCCGGCCGGCGCCCGCCGGCGACCCCAAUCAAUCUUUCCAGGUUGACCUCGUAUCAGGUAGGGAUACCCGCUGAACUUAAGCAUAUCAAUAAGCGGAGGA